rnacentral:ncRNA from 17 species
CGUGCCCGAGCUGGUCUAAGGGGUUCGACUCAAGUUCGAAUAUAUUCGUAUGCGCGGGUUCGAAUCCCGUCGAAUG